AUAUAUUCUGCCAUUCCCCUCUGGCAUGCAGAGUUUCUGCUGAAAUAUCAGCUGUUAAGCAUAUGGAUUUUCCCUUGUGUGGUAAUUGUUGCUUCUCCCUUACUGCUAUUAAUAUUCUUUCUUUGUGUUUAAGUUUAUUUCAGUUCAGUUGCUCAGUUGUGUCCAACUCU